CCUACGGGUGGCAGCAGUGGGGAAUAUUGCACAAUGGGGGAAACCCUGAUGCAGCGACGCCGCGUGAGGGAAGAAGUAUCUCGGUACGUAAAGCUCUAUCAGUAGGGAAGAAAAUGACGGUACCUGACUAAGAAGCCCCGGCUAACUACGUGCCAGCAGCCGCGGUAAUACGUAGGCGGCCAGCGUUAUCCGGAUUUACUGGGUGUAAGGGGAGCGUAGACGGCAGGACAAGUCUGGAGUGAAAUCCCGGGGCUUAACCCCGGAACUGCUGUGGAAACUGUGCGGCUGGAGUGCAGGAGGGGUAGGCGGAAUUCCUGGUGUAGCGGUGAAAUGCGUAGAUAUUAGGAGGAACACCAGUGGCGAAGGCAGCUUACUGGACUGUAACUGACGUUGAGGCUCGAAAGCGUGGGGAGCAAACAGGAUUAGAUACCCCUGUAGUC
rnacentral:rRNA from 1 species